GUCCCGUUCCCAUGUUCCCAUCCCGUUCCCAUAUUCCCAUCCCUGGUCCUUGUCUCCAUUUGCGGACCCUGUCCCCAUCGCUGGUCCCAUUCCUGGUCCCUAUCCCCUUCCCGGUGCCAUUCUCGGUCCCUGUCCGCAUUCCUGGUGCCGGUCCCGGUCCCUAUCCCCAUUCCCAGUCUCUGUCCCUAGUCCCUGUCCCUUUCCUCGGUCCCAUUCCCUGUCCCCAUUCCCGCUCCCUGUCCCCUCUCACCAGACGGCGCCGCCAUCGCUCCGGCCCCCCCGGCCCUCACAUAACAGAGCAAACCCCGCCCUGCUCCCGCCCACCAAUCCCAGGACGCGGUCGCUCAUCUAUUUGCAUAGCCACGCCCUUCACCAUGGCCCCGCCCACCGCCGGCUGCAGCCGCCUCUGGGCGCUCUUUGCUCCCAGUUCCCUCCCAGUGCUCCCAGUAACAGCGGGACUGGCAGGGAAAGCACUCCCAAUUCCUUCCCGCUGAUCUCAGAAUCUGUCCUGCUAUUCUCACUAUCGUUCCCGGUGCUCCCAGUAUCCCUCCCAGUGCUGCGUGAGGCGGGGGCUGUUUCGGAACCCCUCCAGGCAGAGCGCGGCUGCUUUUGGGUUUCGCCACUGCCCGGGCCGGGCUGGGAGCGGAGGAGGAACAGAAGGAAGAGGAGGGACAGAGGAGCAGCAAAAGGAAAGGGAAAGUGAGGUGCGGGAGGAACAGGAGGAGCAGGAAGAGGAGAUACGAAAGAGGAAAAGGAGGAGCGAGAAAAGGAGCAGCACCAACACCGCGCGGUUCCCCCGCCCGAGCUCACCCGCUUCCACCGCCAUCGCCCCUCCCGGAACCCGCAGAGCAGGAGCUGAGGAGGAGUCCAGGGAGGACAAAUCCCCGGGGCAGAACCUGGUGGCAGAGGCCGUUUUGAGCAGCUCCACAGCGCAGGAAUCCAAUGGAGAGGAAAAACCCCAGAGAUCCUGCAGGAGGAGGGGCUGCAAACGCAGAUCGCGGGGAUCUGAGGCGGAAAGACCCAGCCUGGGCUAAGGAGGUGGCCAGAGCUCAGAGCUGGGGGUCCACGAGCUCCUUCAGGAUGGGGAGAAGCCCCACAAGUGCUCAGAAUGUGGGAAGAGCUUCUCCAGGAGCUCUCACUUGACCGACAGCAAUGGAGCCAUCACUAAGGGAAGCCCUGAGUGGGAAGGGUGGGAAAAACUUCAUCUGCUCUUCCAGCUCCAUCCCCCGUGGGAGGAUCUAUGCUGGAUGAUCCGCAGUGACCCACACUGGGCAGAGCCCUGGUGAUCUGCGGUGCCAGUGAUUCCUGUUGGGAAGACACCUGCCUGGGGGCUCCACAUCCUCCUUGCUCCUAGGUUUUCUUUUCAUUUCUUUUUGUCCUUUCAAGACACCCAAAAUCACAGUAAAAAUAAAGACGUUGAACUAAGA